GGUGACAAACCGGGAGGAAGGUGGGGAUGACGUCAAGUCCUCAUGGCCCUUAUAGGUGGGGCUACACACGUCAUACAAUGGCCGGUACAAAGGGUCGCAAACCCGCGAGGGGGAGCCAAUCCAUCAAAGCCGGUCGUAGUCCGGAUCGCAGUCUGCAACUCGACUGCGUGAAGUCGGAAUCGCUAGUAAUCGUGGAUCAGCAUGUCACGGUGAAUACGUUCCCGGGUCUU
rnacentral:rRNA from 1 species